UACGUAGUGACCUAGCGUUGUCCGGAAUCAUUGGGCGUAAAGAGCGUGUAGGCGGCCACUUAAGUCCUGCGUGAAAUCUUGCGGCUCAACCGCAAGCGGUCGUGGGAAACUGGGUGGCUAGAGUGCGGGAGAGGAGAGUGGAAUUCCUGGUGUAGCGGUGGAAUGCGCAGAUAUCAGGAGGAACACCGGUGGCGAAGGCGGGUCUCUGGGCAGUAACUGACGCUGAGGAGCGAAAGCGUGGGGAGCGAACAGG
rnacentral:rRNA from 1 species